AGAGCGAACGCUGGCGGCAGGCCUAAUACAUGCAAGUCGAACGGAUCCUUCGGGAUUAGUGGCGGACGGGUGAGUAACACGUGGGAACGUGCCCUUUGGUUCGGAACAACUCAGGGAAACUUGAGCUAAUACCGAAUGUGCCCUUCGGGGAAAGAUUUAUCGCCAUUGGAGCGGCCCGCGUCUGAUUAGCUAGUUGGUGGGGUAAAGGCCCACCAAGGCGACGAUCAGUAGCUGGUCUGAGAGGAUGAUCAGCCACACUGGGACUGAGACACGGCCCAGACUCCUACGGGAGGCAGCAGUAGGGAAUCUUGCGCAAUGGGCGAAAGCCUGACGCAGCCAUGCCGCGUGAAUGAUGAAGGUCUUAGGAUUGUAAAAUUCUUUCAGCGGGGACGAUAAUGACGGUACCCGCAGAAGAAGCCCCGGCUAACUUCGUGCCAGCGCCGC
rnacentral:rRNA from 1 species